CCUUGACAUGUCCGGAAUCCUGCAGAGAUGCGGGAGUGCCUUCGGGAAUCGGAACACAGGUGCUGCAUGGCUGUCGUCAGCUCGUGUCGUGAGAUGUUGGGUUAAGUCCCGCAACGAGCGCAACCCUUGUCCUUAGUUGCCAGCACGUAAUGGUGGGAACUCUAAGGAGACCGCCGGUGACAAACCGGAGGAAGGUGGGGAUGACGUCAAGUCAUCACGGCCCUUACGGCCAGGGCUACACACGUACUACAAUGGGAGGUACAGAGGGUUGCGAAGCCGCGAGGCGAAGCCAAUCCCAGAAAACCUCUCUCAGUCCGGAUCGUAGUCUGCAACUCGACUACGUGAAGUCGGAAUCGCUAGUAAUCGCGAAUCAGCAUUGUCGCGGUGAAUACGUUCCCGGGCCUUGUACACACCGCCCGUCACACCAUGGGAGUUGGUUGCUCCAGAAGCAGGUAGUCUAACCGCAAGGGGGACGCUUGCCACGGAGUGGUCAAUGACUGGGGUGAAGUCGUAACAAGGUAGGCGUAGAUGA
rnacentral:rRNA from 1 species